rfam:Otolemur garnettii contig131466, whole genome shotgun sequence.
UUGCCUGAUGCAGUCAGUGUUUUCUAUUAAAGAACAUGAAUAUAUCUACAGCAUGCUACAUAUAAUGAAUAAGAAGUAGUUUUUAGUGCUGCCGACUUUUUGGUUGCAUUUAUGUGGAAGCAUAUUUCUUCUAUGUUA